UACAGAGGUCCCAAGCGUUGUUCGGAUUCAUUGGGCGUAAAGGGUGCGUAGGCGGCGCGGUAAGUCGGGUGUGAAAUCUCGGGGCUUAACUCCGAAACUGCAUUCGAUACUGCCGUGCUUGAGGACUGGAGAGGAGACUGGAAUUUACGGUGUAGCGGUGAAAUGCGUAGAUAUCGUAAGGAAGACCAGUGGCGAAGGCGGGUCUCUGGACAGUUCCUGACGCUGAGGCACGAAGGCCAGGGGAGCAAACGGGAUUAGAACCUACGUA
rnacentral:rRNA from 1 species